rnacentral:rRNA from 1 species
UUCCGCCUACGGGGGGCAGCAGUCGAGAAUCAUUCACAAUGGGGGAAACCCUGAUGGUGCGACGCCGCGUGGGGGAAUGAAGGUCUUCGGAUUGUAAACCCCUGUCAUGUGGGAGCAAAUUAAAAAGAUAGAACCACAAGAGGAAGAGACGGAUAACUCUGUGCCAGCAGCCGCGGUAAUACAGAGGUCUCGAGCGUUGUUCGGAAUCACUGGGCGUAAAGCGGGCGUAGGCUGUUUCGUAAGUCGUGUGUGAAAGGCGCGGGCUCAACCCGGGGACGGCAAAUGAU